UUUUUUUGCAGAUGUAUCUCCAUUCCUAUCGGACAAAUUACGGACAUAUUUAGAUCUUGAAGGACAACUUGAAGAAAAGACUGAGAUGCCUUUAAAACGAUUUUGGAGAAAGCUUAUAAUAUGAAGCCGAAGGAAUUAGGCUUUGUGGUGAAGUGGAACCGACGCAAGCAGAUAAGGGCAACUUCUCAAUUUCAGGCAAAUUCCUUCAUUUAUAGGCUUUCGUUUUGGAAAUUUAUGUUUUGGUUAUAUCUCAAUUAAAUAAAUAUAGAUUUG